rnacentral:rRNA from 1 species
GAUGAACGCUAGCGGCAGGCCUAAUACAUGCAAGACGAACGGUAAGUUGAGUAGCAAUACUUAGCCAAGAGUGUCGUACGGGUGCGUAACACGUAUGCAACCUACCCUAUACAGGAGGAUAGCCUAGGGAAACCUGGAUUAACCCUUCAUAGUAUUAUUGGAUGGCAUCAUUUGAUAAUUAAAACUGAGGUGGUAUAGGAUGGGCAUGCGUCUGAUUAGUUAGUUGGCGGGGUAAUGGCCCACCAAGACGAUGAUCAGUAGGGGUUCUGAGAGGAAGAUCCCCCACACUGGCACUGAGAUACGGGCCAGACUCCUACGGGAGGCAGCAGUAGGGAAUAUUGGUCAAUGGAUGCAAGUCUGAACCAGCCAUGCCGCGUGCAGGAAGAAGGCCUUCUGGGUUGUAAACUGCUUUUGCCAGGGAUAAAAUUUCCAUGCGUGGAAACUGAAGGUACCUGGUGAAUAAGCCACGGCUAAC